rnacentral:lncRNA from 1 species
UAGCCCCUCACUAGGUUAGAGCCCUAAGUUGUCUGUGUGAGCUCCGUCCCAGGCCCCUGCCCCUAUAUAUCCCCAGUCGCUGUCGUUGUUGAAAUCCUUGGUGAGAAGGUACCGUGUUGAAACUAUGAGGCCCUAUUCCCAUUAAGGGAUAGCGCCAAAGGGUAUAGACAUUAUGUCAUAUUAUACCGAGAUUAGCGCCCUGAAUUCUUUUAUGUGAAGAAACUGUAUCUGUUGACUAAGCUUUAAAGCCAGUCAUAUGAGCCUGACAGUCCGUCAUAACCUGUAG